rnacentral:lncRNA from 1 species
UCUUCGUCAUCCCUUACUCUCAUUGGGUCACAUAAGGCAGCCUGCAAAAUGCACCUUAAAACUUACCACCAUGGUCCCUAUAUUUUUUCUUUCUGGAGCAUCAUUUCGUGACUCCUUAAACUCCUUCCCUAAUAAUGGUGGUGUGGGUCAUGAAAUGAUGCAUCAUUAAUCUCAAGAAGCUCCUUCAAAGCAUAGUAAAAUGGACAUAUACGUGAGGGAACUGGAUCAGCGGUUCGACUACCAAUGUAAUUAUUUCCUUCAUUUAAAGUUGAAAGACCACUUCAAACUCGAAGUGCGGGGCAAGUAUUGUAGAAGUGACCCAUUGAUCGGAUCAACUUUUUUCAUGAUGAGCACUGUUGGUGCAGAAUUCCGCC